AUUGAACGCUAGCGGGAUGCUUUACACAUGCAAGUCGAACGAGUGGCGGACGGGUGAGUAAUAUAUCGGAACGUGCCCAGUAGCUGGGGAUAACUACUCGAAAGAUUGGCUAAUACCGCCUACUAUUGGAGCGCCCCAUAUGUGAGUAGCUGGUUGGGCGGGUAAAGGCUCACCAAGGCAACGAUCCGUAGCUGGUUUGAGAGGACGACCAGCAACACUGGGACUGAGACACGGCCCAGACUCCUACGGGAGGCAGCAGUGGGGAAUUUUGGAAAAUGGGGGAAAGCCUGAUCCAGCCAUCCCGCGUGUAUGAGAAGGCCUUCGGGUUGUAAAGUACUUUUGGCAGGGAAGCGGUAUCUGCAGAAUAAGCACCGGCUAACUACGUGCCAGCAGCCGCGGUAAUUC
rnacentral:rRNA from 1 species